rnacentral:rRNA from 1 species
CUAAGUUUGAUGGCGACCGGCGCACGGGUGAGUAACACGUAUCCAACCUGCCGAUGACUCGGGGAUAGCCUUUCGAAAGAAAGAUUAAUACCCGAUGGCAUAGUUCUUCCGCAUGGUAGAACUAUUAAAGAAUUUCGGUCAUCGAUGGGGAUGCGUUCCAUUAGUUUGUUGGGGGGGUAACGGCCCACCAAGACUACGAUGGAUAGGGGUUCUGAGAGGAAGGUCCCCCACAUUGGAACUGAGACACGGUCCAA